GACAGAGGGUGCAAACGUUGUUCGGAAUUACUGGGCGUAAAGCGAGUGUAGGCGGUUUGGUAAGUCGGAUGUGAAAGCCCCGGGCUCAACCCGGGAAGUGCACUCGAUACUGCCAAGCUAGAGUAUCGGAGAGGUUGGUGGAAGUUCUCGGUGUAGAGGUGAAAUUCGUAGAUAUCGAGAGGAACACCGGUGGCGAAGGCGGCCAACUGGACGAAUACUGACGCUGAGACUCGAAAGCGUGGGGAGCAAACAGG
rnacentral:rRNA from 1 species